AAUAAAGUGCCUGACAAAAGGAUUAUUCUGAUAGAGUAAAUUAUGUAAUUUUUUUUUACCUUUAUUA
rnacentral:tRNA from 1 species